rnacentral:rRNA from 1 species
AGUGAACGCUGGCGGUAGGCCUAACACAUGCAAGUCGAACGGCAGCACAGUAAGAGCUUGCUCUUACGGGUGGCGAGUGGCGGACGGGUGAGGAAUACAUCGGAAUCUACUUUUUCGUGGGGGAUAACGUAGGGAAACUUACGCUAAUACCGCAUACGACCUACGGGUGAAAGCAGGGGAUCUUCGGACCUUGCGCGAUUGAAUGAGCCGAUGUCGGAUUAGCUAGUUGGCGGGGUAAAGGCCCACCAAGGCGACGAUCCGUAGCUGGUCUGAGAGGAUGAUCAGCCACACUGGAACUGAGACACGGUCCAGACUCCUACGGGAGGCAGCAGUGGGGAAUAUUGGACAAUGGGCGCAAGCCUGAUCCAGCCAUACCGCGUGGGUGAAGAAGGCCUUCGGGUUGUAAAGCCCUUUUGUUGGGAAAGAAAAGCAGCAGGUUAAUACCCCGCUGUUCUGACGGUACCCAAAGAAUAGGCACCGGCUAAGUUCGUG